rnacentral:rRNA from 1 species
AUUGAACGCUAGCGGCAUGCUUUACACAUGCAAGUCGAACGAGUGGCGAACGGGUGAGUAAUGCCUCGGAACCUGCCUAGUAGUGGGGGAUAACUUCCGGAAAGGGGCGCUAAUACCGCAUACUAUCCGAUGGGCCGAUGUCGGAUUAGCUGGUUGGUGGGGUAAAGGCCCACCAAGGCGACGAUCAGUAGCGGGUCUGAGAGGAUGAUCAGCCACACUGGGACUGAGACACGGUCCAGACUCCUACGGGAGGCAGCAGUGGGGAAUAUUGGACAAUGGGCGCAAGCCUGAUCCAGCCAUGCCGCGUGUGUGAAGAAGGCCUUCGGGUUGUAAAGUACUUUUGGCUGGGAAGCGUUACCUGCAGAAUAAGCACCGGCUAACUACGUGCCAGCAGCCGCGGUAAUUC